UUUAGGCAAUUGGAAUCAAAAUCGCUACUAACUCUGAUGUGAAAGCACCAGUUGAUUGCAGUUAUGGGAUACCAUUUGUUGCAGCAAAGGAGAAUGAAGUAAAUGAUGUGGCCAUGCCAGGGGCGGCUUUUCGUCCAGGUGUUAUGAAUCCAAAUGAAAGGGUCCGCAAAUUCUUUCCAGAAACAUGGAUUUGGGAUCUAAUCCCUGUGGGAAAUUCCGGCUCCGUGGAUGUUGCAAAGACCGUCCCAGACACCAUCACUACAUGGGCAGCAGGGGCUUUCUGCACAUCGCCUGUCGGAUUCGGGCUGGCCCCCAGCACCAAUCUCACUGCUUUUAAGCCGUUCUUUGUGAGCCUCACCCUCCCUUAUUCUGUUAUCCGUGAAGAAACGUUCACGCUCAAAGCCUCUGUGUUCAACUACCUCUCCAAAUGCAUCAUGGUGAAGGUCACGCUGGCAGAUUCGACUCAGUUCACAGCUCAGCCGUGUAGGGGUUGCACAUACACUCAGUGUGUUUGUGCUGAAGAGAGCAAAACCUUCCAGUGGACUAUUACACCUUCUGUUGUGGGAAAGGUGAACUUUACAGUGCGUGCCGAGGCAGUGAAGACCCGAGAACUGUGUGGCAAUGAAGUGGUGACUUUGCCAGACAAAGGCAAAGUUGAUACUGUGAUGCAGAGCGUUCUGGUGGAGGUGGAGGGAACUAAACAGUCAGUCACUCAGAAUGAGCUCAUCUGCUUAACUGACCGUCCAUACAACACAUCCAUCACCCUUGCUCUUCCUAAAGUUUUUGUGAAGGAUUCUGCCAAAUGCUUCAUCACUGUUCUGGGAGAUCUGAUGGGUCGUGCUUUGAGAAACAUUGGUGAUCUUCUGGCUAUGCCAUACGGCUGUGGAGAGCAGAACAUGCUGCAGUUUGCCCCAAAUAUUUACAUCCUUCAAUACCUGGAGAGCAGCGGACAGCUCACUCCUGAGAUCAGAGCCCGAGCCGUAACCUUCCUACAGAGCGGCUAUCAGAGAGAGCUGACAUAUAAGCAUGGUGAUGGAUCUUACAGUGCUUUUGGCUCAAACGAUCCUUCUGGUAACACAUGGCUAACUGCAUUUGUGAUGAAGUCUUUUGGUGGGGCAAAGAGGUAUAUAUUUAUAGAUCAGACCAGCAUUGAUGAGGCAAAGAAUUGGCUGAGUCAGCAGCAGAAGACAAAUGGCUGCUUCACCUCUGUGGGGCAACUGAUCCACAUUGAAAUGAUGGGUGGUGUCAAUGAUGAAGUCACUCUCUCUGCUUACAUCACCGCAGCGCUGCUGGAGUUAGGCGUGCAGAUUUCUGAUCCCAUGGUGGCUAGAAGCCUUGUAUGUCUGAAGGAAGCUUCACGUAACAUUACCAACACCUAUGUGAAUGCCUUGUUGUCCUAUACAUUCACACUUGCUGGAGAUGGAGAAAUGAGACUGAACCUCCUGUCCAAGCUGGACAAUCAGGCCAGGAGAGAAGGUGCUGGACGAUACUGGUCUCUGGUCAACAAUGCUCAACAAACAAGCUCUGUGGAGGUUGAAAUGACUGCCUACGUUUUGCUGGCUCUUCUCUCGGGACCCUCACUGCCUAGAUUUGGUCUCAACUAUUCAGCUGGAAUAGUGCAGUGGCUGGGCAGACAGCAGAACGCCUUCGGGGGCUUCUCCUCCACACAGGAUACUGUAGUAGCGCUCCAGGCCCUGGCUAAGUACAGCGCUGCCGUCUUCAAUCCAGAAGGAUCCAUCGCCGUGACCGUGACCUCCCCAUCAGGACAGAGAAACCAGUUCACUGUGAACCGCAAUAACCGGCUGCUUUACCAGGAGAAACAGCUGACGGAAACUACUGGAACAUACAAGCUCAGGGCAGAAGGCAAAGGAUGUGUGUUUGUGCAGUUUGCCUUGAACUACAACAUCCCCCCUCCUCCUGAUGCGUUGGCCUUCAACAUUAAAACAAAUACAGGAGUCUGCAGCAAAAACCAAGCUUUUACAUUAAACGUCACUGUCCGGUAUGAUGGCAAACGAGAGGAGACCAACAUGGUGAUCAUUAACGUCAGGCUGCUGUCUGGGUUUAAGCUGGAUGAGGCGUCUCUGCAGGCCCUGAAGGAAGACCCCACCGUCAAACGUGUGGAUCUGGAUGAGGAUCGUGUCAUUGUCUAUUUGGAGAGUGUAACUGAAAAAGAAGCAGGUGAAGUCCAUCAAUCUGAGGCUUCAGCAGGACGUCCUGGUGCAGAAGCUUAAACCAGCUGUGGUGGAGGUCUAUGACUACUACAAGACCA
rnacentral:lncRNA from 1 species